UACGAAGGGGGCUAGCGUUGCUCGGAAUCACUGGGCGUAAAGCGCACGUAGGCGGCUUGUUAAGUCAGGGGUGAAAUCCUGGAGCUCAACUCCAGAACUGCCUUUGAUACUGGCGAGCUUGAGUCCGGGAGAGGUGAGUGGAACUGCGAGUGUAGAGGUGAAAUUCGUAGAUAUUCGCAAGAACACCAGUGGCGAAGGCGGCUCACUGGCCCGGUACUGACGCUGAGGUGCGA
rnacentral:rRNA from 1 species